GCCAGACUCCUACGGGAGGCAGCAGUGGGGGAUAUUGCACAAUGGGGGAAACCCUGAUGCAGCGACGCCGCGUGAGUGAAGAAGUAUUUCGGUAUGUAAAGCUCUAUCAGCAGGGAAGAAGAUGACAGUACCUGAGUAAGAAGCCCCGGCUAACUACGUGCCAGCAGCCGCGGUAAUACGUAGGGGGCAAGCGUUAUCCGGAUUUACUGGGUGUAAAGGGAGCGUAGACGGAUGGAUAAGUCUGGAGUGAAAGCCCGGGGCCCAACCCCGGGACUGCUCUGGAAACUGCGGCGCUGGAGUACGGGAGGGGCAGGCGGAAUUCCUGGUGUAGCGGUGAAAUGCGUAGAUAUCAGGAGGAACACCGGCGGCGAAGGCGGCCUGCUGGACCGUGACUGACGUUGAGGCUCGAGAGUGUGGGGAGCAAACAGGAUUAGAUCCCCCUGUA
rnacentral:rRNA from 1 species